rnacentral:rRNA from 1 species
CCUACGGGUGGCAGCAGUGAGGAAUAUUGGUCAAUGGGCGGGAGCCUGAACCAGCCAAGCCGCGUGAGGGAAGAAGGUACAGCGUAUCGUAAACCUCUUUUGUCAGGGAACAAAGGCGGGGACUAGUCCCCGGAUGAGGGUACCUGAAGAAAAAGCAUCGGCAAACUCCGUGCCAGCAGCCGCGGUAAUACGGAGGAUGCGAGCGUUAUCCGGAUUUAUUGGGUUUAUAGGGUGCGCAGGCGGCCGGUUAAGUUAGCGGUAAAAGCCCGGGGCUCAACCCCGGAGAGCCGUUGAAACUGGCGGGCUGGAGUUGAGGUGAGGUACGCGGAAUGCACGGUGUAGCGGUGAAAUGCUUAGAUAUCGCGCAGAACCCCGAUUGCGAAGGCAGCGUACCGGCUCCACACUGACGCUGAGGCACGAAAGCGUGGGGAUCAAACAGGAUUAGAUACCCCUGUAGUC